rnacentral:rRNA from 1 species
UGAGGAAUAUUGGUCAAUGGUCGGAAGACUGAACCAGCCAAGUCGCGUGAAGGAAGAAGGUACUAAGUAUUGUAAACUUCUUUUGUUCGGGGGUAAAAUACGGGAUGUAUCCUGUAUUGCAAGUACCGGACGAAUAAGCAUCGGCUAACUCCGUGCCAGCAGCCGCGGUAAUACGGAGGAUGCGAGCGUUAUCCGGAUUUAUUGGGUUUAAAGGGUGCGUAGGUUGUUUAGUAAGUCAGCGGUGAAAUCUUCCUGCUUAACAGGGACAUUGCCGUUGAAACUGCGGGACUUGAGAUUGGACGAGGUGUGCGGAAUUCGUAGUGUAGCGGUGAAAUGCAUAGAUAUUACGAAGAACCCCGAUAGCGUAGGCAGCAUACCAGGUCAAUUCUGACACUGAAGCACGAAAGUGUGGGAAUCAAACAGGAUUAGAUACCCUGGUAGUCCACACAGUAAACGAUGAAUACUGACUGUUUGCGAUACACAGUAAGCGGUUAAGCGAAAGCGUUAAGUAUUCCUACCU